rnacentral:tRNA from 1 species
CAGGGAGACAACAAAAUGUUAAAUAUUAUUAUUUUGUCACCUUAGGUCGAUCGGUAUCUCACUUUCUUAAUUAAUUAAGAUUUUCAUUUCCUAAGUUUUUCUAGGUCACACCCAUUAUUUUUCCUGGGCCAUUAGCUCAGGUGGUUAGAGCGCACCCCUGAUAAGGGUGAGGUCCCUGGUUCAAGUCCAGGAUGGCCCAUAUCUCUAUGUUGGGGGUAUAGCUCAGUUGGUAGAGCGCCUGCUUUGCAAGCAGGAUGUCAGCGGUUCGAGUCCGCUUACCUCCACUGAUUACCACCUCUUACAUAAUCUGUAAAAAGGAAAUGUUUUGAGUUGUGAUCAAAUUCUGAACGAAUCUAGCCUCCUAAUGAAAUCAUUAAGAUGCUGGACUCAUUGAAUUAAUUUCAUUGUUUUCAGAGAACCUUGACAACUGCAUAGAUUAUUUUUAAAGACAAUAAGCAUCUUUAAUGAUGCAGAUUUAUUAUUUGUGCGAAAGCAUUAAUAACAAUUCUAUUAAGCUGAUGCUUCAAUUUUGAAGUUAUU